CCGUGAGGGAAAGGUGAAAAGAACCCCGGGAGGGGAGUGAAAUAGAACCUGAAACCCUGCACUUACAAGCUGUGGAAGCACAUUUCUUGUGUGACCGCGUACUUUUUGUAGAACGGGCCAACGAGUUACGUUAAGUAGCAAGGUUAAGCACUUAAGGUGCGGAGCCGUAGCGAAAGCGAGUUUUAACUGAGCGUUCAGUUACUUGACGUAGACCCGAAACCGGGCGACCUACCCAUGAGCAGGAUGAAGCGAAAGUAAAAUUUCGUGGAGGUCCGACCCCACGAGCGUUGAAA
rnacentral:rRNA from 1 species